rnacentral:tRNA from 1 species
GGCUGAGUGGCUGAGUGGUAAAGCGCUUGGCUUCCGAGCCUAAGGUCCAGGGUUUAAAUCCCUGUGAAAUCU